GUUUAAGGUUAUAUCGUCCGUUUCUGUUCCGAACGGACAGUGGUUGGAAAUAUCUGAAAAAGAGAACGAAUUGGGUCGAAACUAGUGUCGAUGAUUGCCACGGUGAUUUUCGUAAUCGAAACCUUGACGCGGUAUCGCUGACAUUAAUACCUGUUAUGUUAAUGAAAAACGAUAACGACCCGCAGGAUCUAUCUUGAGACCAGUUCAUACGGAGAUACUGGCAAGGAUAAAUGAAGGCUUUAAUAGAUAUUUUUCUUUUCAUCGACAAGAAAAUAGUAUAAUUACAGGACGAUUAAAAUAUUCUUCUAA